UGUAGCCUACGGGAGGCAGCAGUGAGGAAUAUUGGUCAAUGGUCGGGAGACUGAACCAGCCAAGCCGCGUGAGGGAGGAAGGUACAGAGUAUCGUAAACCUCUUUUGUCAGGGAACAAAGGCGGGGACGUGUCCCCGGAUGAGUGUACCUGAAGAAAAAGCAUCGGCUAACUCCGCGCCAGCAGCCGCGGUAAUACGGAGGAUGCGAGCGUUAUCCGGAUUUAUUGGGUUUAAAGGGUGCGCAGGCGGUCUAUUAAGUCAGCGGUCAAAGCCCGGGGCUCAACCCCCGCCCGCCGUUGGAACUGG
rnacentral:rRNA from 1 species